rnacentral:rRNA from 1 species
GGCGUGGCUUCCGGAGCUAACGCGUUAAGUCGACCGCCUGGGGAGUACGGCCGCAAGGUUAAAACUCAAAUGAAUUGCCGGGGGCCCGCACAAGCGGUGGAGCAUGUGGUUUAAUUCGAUGCAACGCGAAGAACCUUACCUACUCUUGACAUCCAGAGAACUUAGCAGAGAUGCUUUGGUGCCUUCGGGAACUCUGAGACAGGUGCUGCAUGGCUGUCGUCAGCUCGUGUUGUGAAAUGUUGGGUUAAGUCCCGCAACGAGCGCAACCCUUAUCCUUUGUUGCCAGCGGUUAGGCCGGGAACUCAAAGGAGACUGCCAGUGAUAAACUGAGGAAGGUGGGGAUGACGUCAAGUCAUCAUGGCCCUUACGAGUAGGGCUACACACGUGCUACAAUGGCGCAUACAAAGAGAAGCGACCUCGCGAGAGCAAGCGGACCUCAUAAAGUGCGUCGUAGUCCGGAUUGGAGUCUGCAACUCGACUCCAUGAAGUCGGAAUCGCUAGUAAUCGUGGAUCAGAAUGCCACGGUGAAUACGUUCCCGGGCCUUGUACACACCGCCCGUCACACCAUGGGAGUGGGUUGCAAAAGAAGUAGGUAGCUUAACCUUCGGGAGGGCGCUUCCCACUUUGUGAUUCAGGCCUGCGGUGAAGUC